CUAGGAUGAACGCUGGCGGCGUGCCUAACACAUGCAAGUCGAGCGAUUAUCCGGUAAAGAGCGGCGGACGGGUGAGUAACGCGUGGGUAACCUGCCUCAUACACAUGGAUAACAUACCGAAAGGUAUGCUAAUACAAGAUAAUAUAAGAGAUUCACAUGGAUUUCUUAUCAAAGCUCCGGCGUAGGUGAGAUGGACCCGCGUCUGAUUAGCUAGUUGGUAAGGUAAUGGCUUACCAAGGCGACGAUCAGUAGCCGACCUGAGAGGGUGAUCGGCCACAUUGGAACUGAGACACGGUCCAAACUCCUACGGGAGGCAGCAGUGGGGAAUAUUGCACAAUGGGCGAAAGCCUGAUGCAGCAACGCCACGUGAGUGAUGAAGGCCUUCGGGUCGUAAAACUCUGUCCUCAAGGAAGAUAAUGACGGUACUUGAGGAGGAAGCCCCGGCUAACUACGUGCCAGCCGCCGC
rnacentral:rRNA from 1 species